rnacentral:rRNA from 1 species
CAGGUCUUCGGAUGCUGACGAGUGGCGAACGGGUGAGUAAUACAUCGGAACGUGCCCGAGAGUGGGGGGUAACGAAGCGAAAGCUUUGCUAAUACCGCAUACGAUCUCAGGAUGAAAGCAGGGGACCGCAAGGCCUUGCGCUCACGGAGCGGCCGAUGGCAGAUUAGGUAGUUGGUGGGAUAAAAGCUUACCAAGCCGACGAUCUGUAGCUGGUCUGAGAGGACGACCAGCCACACUGGGACUGAGACACGGCCCAGACUCCUACGGGAGGCAGCAGUGGGGAAUUUUGGACAAUGGGCGCAAGCCUGAUCCAGCCAUGCCGCGUGCAGGAUGAAGGCCCUUCGGGUUGUAAACUGCUUUUGUACGGAACGAAAAGACUCUGGUUAAUACCUGGGGUCCAUGACGGUACCCGUAAGAAUAAGCACCGGCUAACUACGUGCCAGCAGCCGCGGUAAAUACGUAGGGUGCGAGCGUUAAUCGGAAUUACUGGGCGUAAAGCGUGCGCAGGCGGUUAUGUAAGACAGAUGUGAAAUCCCCGGGCUCAACCUGGGAACUGCAUUUGUGACUGCAUAGCUAGAGUACGGCAGAGGGGGAUGGAAUUCCGCGUGUAGCAGUGAAAUGCGUAGAUAUGCGGAGGA